UACGUAGGGGGCAAGCGUUGUCCGGAAUCAUUGGGCGUAAAGAGCUCGUAGGCGGUUUGUCGCGUCUGCUGUGAAAUCCCAGGGCUUAACCCUGGGCCUGCAGUGGGUACGGGCAAACUAGAGUGCGGUAGGGGAGAUCGGAAUUCCUGGUGUAGCGGUGAAAUGCGCAGAUAUCAGGAGGAACACCGGUGGCGAAGGCGGAUCUCUGGGCCGUAACUGACGCUGAGGAGCGAAAGCAUGGGUAGCGAACAGG
rnacentral:rRNA from 1 species